rnacentral:rRNA from 1 species
GCCCAGCUGUAACACAAUAAUCAAAUAACCCAUUAUUCGCCAAAUAACUACGAGCAAAAGCUUAAAAUUUAAAAGACUUGACGGUACUUCACAACAACCUAGAGGAGCCUGUCUAAUAACCGAUACCCCACGAUUAACCCUACCCCCCCUAGCCAAAGCAGUCUAUAUACCGCCGUCGCCAGCUUACCUUGUGAAAGGAAACAAAGUGAGCCCAACAGGCACCCCUAAUACGACAGGUCGAGGUGUAACUAAUGGGGGGGUUAAGAUGGGCUACAUUUUCUUACCAGAAAAUACAAAUAGACUAUGAAACUAGAAAUUGAAGGCGGAUUUAGCAGUAUGUUAAGAACAUAAUACCUAACCGAAAUAAAUGCAAUGAAGUGCGCACACACCGCCCGUCAUCCCUGCAAACAAACACUAAAGUUAAUAAACACAAUAUCACCACUAAAACAGGGCAAGUCGUAACAUGGUAGGCGUACUGGAAAGUGCGCCUAGAAA